CGGAGGUCAGUAUAUGCCUUAUUAUUACUGUAUCUGAUAACAAACGACGGAGGUCAGUAUAUGCCUUAUUAUUACUGCAUCUGAUAACAAACGACGGAGGUCAGUAUAUGCCUUAUUAUUACUGCAUCUGAUAACAAACGACGGAGGUCAGUAUAUGCCUUAUUAUUACUGCAUCUGAUAACAAACAACAGAGGUUUUCCUCUUCUGAUCUGUAGUAGUUAUUUUGCAGUUAGGUUGUAGUUGGAAUAAAUUUGCAGUUAGGUUGUAGUUGGAGUAAAUGUGGUGGGUUUGGCCUCAUGCAGAAAGAUGGUUUUGUCUUCCUUAGAAAUGUAGAUGAGAUACAAUUGGAUAGUUCUUCACUUGACUGUUAUUUUACAAAGAUGGCUGACUAUGAAAAAGCCGUCUUUUUUUUUUUACCUUUUAACUAGGCAAGUCAGUUAAGAACAAAUUCUUAUUUUCAAUGACGGCCUAGGAACAGUGGGUUAACUGCCUGUUCAGGGGCAGAACGACAGAUUUGUACCUUGUCAUCUCAGGGAUUUGAACUUGCAACCUUCCGGUUACUAGUCCAAUGCUUUAACCACUAGGCUACCCUGCCGCCCCAGGGCAGCCUAAAUAAUAGAAGGGAGGAUUGUGUUGGACAGUGUCAGAACUGGAUGCGUUCCUGCAAUGACUUUCAUGGCUACAUUCCGAUCAUUAUCUCCUCCCAUGUAUGCACCAAUCCAAAGCUUUUCAAUGCACGGAGGGGAGUGAACGAGAGCACACUUUAUGAAUGCAGCCUAUUUCUGUGAAAUGCUGAUAGUAAUCAUCUCCGUGUG